AACGAACGCUGGCGGCAGGCUUAACACAUGCAAGUCGAACGGACGUAGCAAUACGUUAGUGGCGCACGGGAGAGUAACACGUGGGAACCUACCUUUUAGUUCGGAAUAACGUCGGGAAACUGACGCUAAUACCGGAUACGCCCCAAGGGGGAAAGAUUUAUCGCUAAAAAGAUGGGCCCGCGCUAGAUUAGCUAGUUGGUAAGGUAAUGGCUUACCAAGGCUACGAUCUAUAGCUGGUCUGAGAGGAUGACCAGCCUCACUGGGACUGAGACACGGCCCAGACUCCUACGGGAGGCAGCAGUGGGGAAUAUUGGACAAUGGGGGCAACCCUGAUCCAGCCAUGCCGCGUGAAUGAUGAAGGCCUUCGGUUGUAAAGUUCUUUUGGAGGGGACGAUGAUGACGGUACCCUCAGAAUAAGCUCCGGCUAACUUCGUGCCAGCAACCGCGGUAAUCUGUAGUCGU
rnacentral:rRNA from 1 species